rnacentral:rRNA from 1 species
AAGAUGGCCUCGCGGCCCAUUAGCUAGUUGGUAGGGUAAUGGCCUACCAAGGCGACGAUGGGUAGCCGAGCUGAGAGGCUGAACGGCCACACUGGAACUGAGACACGGUCCAGACUCCUACGGGAGGCAGCAGUGGGGAAUAUUGGGCAAUGGGCGCAAGCCUGACCCAGCAACGCCGCGUGAGGGAAGAAGGUUUUCGGAUUGUAAACCUCUGUCCUUGGGGACGAAAAUGACGGUACCCAAGGAGGAAGCCCCGGCUAACUACGUGCCAGCAGCCGCGGUAAUACGUAGGGGGCAAGCGUUGUCCGGAAUUAUUGGGCGUAAAGGGAGCGUAGGCGGUCUUUUAAGUUAGAUGUGAAAGGCUACGGCUCAACCUGGGAAGUGCUCCUGAAACUGGUAGACUUGAGUGCAAGAGAGGGAAGUGGAAUUCCUAGUGUAGCGGUGAAAUGCGUAGAUAUUAGGAGGAACACCAGUGGCGAAGGCGACUUCCUGGCUUGUAACUGACACUGAGGCGCGAAAGCGUGGGGAUCAAACAGGAUUAGAUACCCUGGUAGUCCACGCCGUAAACGAUGAGUGCUAGGUGUCGGGGGUAUCGACCCCCUCGGUGCCACAGCUAACGCAAUAAGCACUCCGCCUGGGGAGUACGGUCGCAAGACUGAAACUCAAAGGAAUUGACGGGGGCCCGCACAAGCGGUGGAGUAUGUGGUUUAAUUCGACGCAACGCGAAGAACCUUACCAAGGCUUGACAUCCCGUGACCGGUACAGAGAUGUUCUUUCGCCUUCGGGUGAACACGGAGACAGGUGGUGCAUGGUUGUCGUCAGCUCGUGUCGUGAGAUGUUGGGUUAAGUCCCGCAACGAGCGCAACCCUUGUCUUUAGUUACCAUCAUUCAGUUGGGGACUCUAGAGAGACUGCCGGUGACAAACCGGAGGAAGGUGGGGAUGACGUCAAAUCAUCAUGCCCCUUAUGACUUGGGCUACACACGUACUACAAUGGCGUAUACAGAGAGGAGCAAGCCCGCAAGGGGAGCGGAUCUGAGAAAAGUAGUCCCAGUUCGGAUCGUGGGCUGCAACCCGCCCACGUGAAGUCGGAGUUGCUAGUAAUCGCGGAUCAGCAUGCCGCGGUGAAUACGUUCCCGGGCCUUGUACACCCCGCCCGGCAAACCAUGAGAGUUGGUAAUACCCGAAGCCGGUGAGC